GCCGGGUGUGGUGGCAGGCACCUGUAAUCCCAGCUACUUGGGAGGCUGAGGCAGGAGAAUCGCUUGAACCCGGGAGGUGGAGGUUGUGGUGAGCUGAUAUCGUGCCACUGCACUCCAGCCUGGGUGACAGAGUAAGACUCUGUCUCAGAAAAAAAAAAAAAAAAAGAAAAGAAAAUACUCAUGCAAGUCACUGAAUCCAUCAGGAUUUUUUGGGGGACAUUUUCACAAGACUCUUUAAGGAGACUUUUUUUUUUUUUUUUUGAGAUGGAAUCUUGCUCUGUCUUCUAGGCUGGAGUGCAGUGGCGGGAUCGCGGCUCACUGCAACCCCCACUUCCUGGGUUCAAGUGAUUCUCCUGCCUCAG
rnacentral:sRNA from 1 species